AUCUGGGACGUGGAAGACCCGUCCAACGCGGCUAACCCUCCGCUCUGUAGCAUCCUGCUCAAGGAUUCCCGGCCAUACUUCACCACAGUGUUUCAGAAUAGCAUGUACAGGGUACUGAAGAUCAACUGACAUCAAGGAGCCCCGACAGUCUGCAGUGCGAAGGCGUAUGUCCAAAACGGACACUUCCAGCCUCAUUUACAACAAUAAGAACCACAAACUUUACUAAGAGACACUUUAGAGCCAUAAACAAUUACUUAAAUUUCUCUGGUUACUACUAAUGAUAAAUUACUGCAUUGUUUACAUUAAAUGCCAGUCUGUCAGGCUUACCUCAUAA
rnacentral:lncRNA from 1 species